AUGGGUGUCUUGUGCUCAUCUCCGGAUACGGAUCUGUAUCCUUCUCUGUACAUGUCCUGCUUCCAAGGAUUGUUCUUCUGCUCACAGGUUGCAUUCCUGUUGCUUCACAAUGUUUGUAUUUACCAUAUUACUCCUCAAUGCCAUGAGUUGGGAGCAGCUCCAAUUCCAUCAGAUGUACAUGAGCUAUAUGUUGAUAAGCUCGCGUAUCAGUUGGCGGAUGUUCUUGAUUUCUUCAGUUUAGGGUCUGUGAUGUGCAUGGGUGUCACCGCCGGUGCCUAUAUGCUUAUCUUCUUUGCAGUACGUGUUUGCACGAUUAGGUAUUAA
rnacentral:rRNA from 1 species